GACGAACGCUGGCGGCAUGCCUAAUACAUGCAAGUCGAGCGAACAGAUGAAGUGCUUGCACUUCUGACGUUAGCGGCGAACGGGUGAGUAACACGUAAGGAGUCUACCUAUAAGCGGGGGAUAACAUUCGGAAACGGGUGCUAAUACCGCAUAAUAUCUUCUUCCGCAUGGAAGAAGAUUGAAAGACGGCUCUGCUGUCACUUAUAGAUGACCUUGCGGUGCAUUAGUUAGUUGGUGGGGUAAUGGCCUACCAAGACGAUGAUGCAUAGCCGACCUGGGGGGGUGAUCGGCCACAUUGGGACUGGGACACGGCCCAAACUCCUACGGGAGGCAGCAGUAGGGAAUCUUCCGCAAUGGGCGAAAGCCUGACGGAGCAAUGCUGCGUGAGUGAAGAAGGCCUUCGGGUCGUAAAACUCUGUUAUAAGAGAAGAACAAAUUGUAGAGUAACUGCUACAGUCUUGGCGGUAUCUUAUCAGAAAGCCACGGCUAACUACGUGCCAGCAGCCGCCGCCG
rnacentral:rRNA from 1 species